rnacentral:tRNA from 1 species
GUCUCUGUAGCUCAGCGUCAGAGCACGAGUCUCAUGAGCUCGGGGUCGGGGGUUAAACUCCCCCCAGAGACA